CUGGGUCGGUCGGGCUGGGGUGCGAAGCGGGGCUGGGCUCGAGCCGCGGGCUGGGGGGAGCAGUCGUCCCGUCGCCCUCCUCUCUCCGCCGCCGCGCACAGGGUGCGCGGCCCGUCUCGCGGGGGCCCUCGUCCGCGGCGCCUCGGCGUCGCGCGGCGGGGGUCUUUCGCGGGGCGGUGUCCGACGCCGCGCGGAAGGCGGGCCGGAGGAGGUUGGAUACGGCGGUCGGCGGCGGCGACUCUGGACGCGCGCCGGGCCCUUCUCGCGGAUCUCCCCAGCUACGGCGCCGUUGGGUCCCGUUCGCGCGGGGCUCCGGCGGGUCGCCUCGUGGCGCCUAGCAGCUGACUUAG
rnacentral:rRNA from 1 species